rnacentral:rRNA from 1 species
UCUCCGCGCAGAGUGCGGCGAAUUGUAAUCUAGAGGAGUAAUGCUCAAAGGGUAGCGGCGCAGAAGUGCCCUGGAACGGGCCGCCAAAGAGGGUGACAGCCCCGUAUGUGGUGCCGCAGCCUAACGAGCAUGCUUACGAAGAGUCGGGUUGUUUUGUAUUGCAGCCCUAAGUGGGAGAUAAACUUCUUCUAAGGCUAAAUAUAUGUGGGAAACCGAUAGCGAACAAGUACUGUGAAGGAAAGAUGAAAAGCACUUUGGAAAGAGAGUCAAAAGACCUGAAACCGUUGAGGAGGAAGCGGUGGAGAUGAAUGCUACAGCGUAUCACGGGGAAGCUGGCCAAAGCAUGGCGGGGGAGUCGUACGUCAAAGGCGGCCCUUUGUCCGAGUGGAAGCCGGUGGCUUGUGAUGCGUUGUGAGGCCGGAUGGAGUGAUGUGACCGCAAAGGCUCCUUAGGCCUGGCUCGAUUCGUUGGGCAGCCUAGGGAAGCAGGUGGUGGCAUGGCUUGAGGGUGCUUUGUGCGAUCCGGUCAAAAUGGUCUUUACCGACUCGUCUUGAAACACGAACCAAGGAGUCUA